GACCUCGUGAUUUGCCCGCUUCAGCCUCCCAAAGUGCUGGGAUUACAGGUGCGAGCCACCGCGCCUGGCUGACCCCUUGUUCUUUUUCUACCAUGUGAGAAUGCAAGAGAAGUCAGCAGUCUGUAGCCCAGAACAGGGCCCUCACCACAGCUUGAGCAUCUUGGUAUCCUGAUCUCAGACUUCUAGCACCUAGAACUAUGAAAAAUACAUUUCUGUUGUUCAUGAGCCACCCAGUCAAUGAUACUUUGUUAUAGCAGCCUGAAUUGACUAAGACAGCCUUGGAAACCACAUUGGAGAUGGUGAAGCCACAGUGUGGGAAGAUCCUGGAUUCCUGAAUCAUCACUUGGAGGACAAACACCACUGAUCAGGAACACACAUUUAGUUUUCUGUUAACAAGAAAUCAGCUACCUUGUAGGAGCCAAUAUACAUUUUGGGAUUGCUUGUCACAGCAUUGAGCAUUACCCUAGCUCAUGUAGGGUUUAAGAAAAUGCAUCGUUGUUCAGAUGGUUCAGAGGGGUCUGGGCUGGGAAAACACUCAAGGCCUCUAGGGUCAGAAGGUCUUUGUUGAGGCUGAAGAGCAGAAGUGGUGAGAGGACCGGAAAAAUCUAGAAAACAGAUGUCAGGGCCUCUGGCAGAAUGCAAGAAACUAAGAUUUCAGAGAGAAGCUAUCCCACUGUGGCAAGAGCCAAAUGUGAGAAGUUGGGGAACAUUAAACAGGGGUCUGGGAAUUGUGAUGAGUGAGGUCAAGAAUUGUGUUGCCUGGUUAGUUCACAGGGAUGUCAGAGUCUGUGAUGAAGCAGAAUGUGAGGUGGAGAGGAAGCCUCAGAGGGGCUGGCCAUUGUUCUGCAAUCAGGGACCAGGGAAGGACUGCUUUAGUGAAAGGCAUGGGCUGGCGGGAUUGCCAUCACUCAGUCUGUCAGCUGCCAUGACUGAGUGGAUCUGAGCAGGGCAGCAAACGGAUCGCUCAGGAGACCACCUGAGAUGCACACCUGAAGGCUGGUUCCUGAAGUGUCACCUGCAAAUGCUGAUGUAGGCCAGCACCAUCCAGAAACAGCCAGACCCACAGCAGAGCACUGCCAUCAGCUGGUAAAGCAUCAUGGCACUUCCCAAAGCACCUUAUUCACAAAUCUGUCUGGGCCUCAUGGACAUCCCAGGGAGACCCAUAAGAGAGUGGCCUCUCCCUGUGCCAGAAACAGAAAAAUCCAUCCUAAAUUCAUAUCAUAUCUCAAGAGACCUCAAGUAGUCAAAACAAGCUUGAAAAAGAACAAAGCUGGAUGGAGAUCCCACAACUCCUGAUUUCAAAACUUGCUAUAAAGCUACAAUAAUCAAAACAAUCGCUACUGGCAUAAACACAGAAACGUAGACCAACAGAAUGGAAUAGAGAACUCAAAAAUAAACCCUCACACACACGACCAAAUGAUUUCCGA